UUGAUCUGAAAUCAGGUA
rnacentral:rRNA from 2 species